rnacentral:rRNA from 1 species
GUAAGGGCGUGUGGGGGAUGUCUUGGCACUAAUAGGCAUAAGGGCGUGGAAGACUGCGAUAAGCCCGGGGAAGUUGUCAAACGAAUAUCGAUCCCGGGAUUCCUGUGCUAACCCAGGGAACUGAAACAUCUCAGUACCUGGAGGAAAAGAAAGCAAAAGCGACUCCGUAAGUAGCGGCGAGCGAAAGCGGAAUAGCCCAAACCUAGAGAGCAUGCUCUUUAGGGGUUGUAGGACCGCAUUUAAGACUAGGAUCUCUAGCUGAACGGUUUUGGGAAAGCCGGCCAUAGCGGGUGAUAGCCCCGUAAGCGACAGAGUGAGAAGCUGAGCGGUAUCCUGAGUAGGUCCAUGCACGUGAAACGUGGACUGAAUCGACGGGGACCAUCCCGUAAGGCUAAGUACUCAUUAGUGACCGAUAGUGAACCAGUAGCGCGAGCGAAAGAUGGGAAGAACCCCGAUAAGGGGAGGAUAGUGAACCUGAAACCACAUGCCUACAAGCGGUGAGAGGCCUACGACGCAAGUCAGGCUGAUCGCGUGCCUUUUGCAUAAUGAUCCGACGACUUACCGUAACUGGCAAGGCUAAGUGUCUUUGGCACGGAGCCGUAGGGAAACCGAGUCUGAAUAGGGCGCCAAGUCAGCUGCGGUAGACGCGAAACCACGUGAACUACGCAUGGCCAGGAUGAAGGAGAGGUAACACUCUCUGGAAGACCGAACUCACUAGUGUUGAAAAACUAGGGGAUGAGCUGUGUGGAGGAUUGAAAGUAUCAUCAAACGUGGAGAUAGCUCGUUCUCUCCGAAAUAACUUUAGGGUUAGCGUUCGAAUAGUUGGCAAUGGGGGUAGAGCGACUGAAAUCGAACGGGGGCCUACCCGGCUACCCGUCGAUACCAAACUCCGAAUACCAUUGUACCAAGUUCGUGCAGCUAGACUGCGAGGGAUAAGCUUCGUAGUCGAGAGGGGAACAACCCAGACCGCCUGCUAAGGUCCCAGAAUCGUACUGAGUGCGAAAGGAAGUUGGAAUCCUAAGACAGCCAGGAUGUUGGCUUAGAAGCAGCCACCAUUUAAAAAGUGCGUAAUAGCUUACUGGUCGAGGGUUCCUGCGCCGAUAAUGAACGGGACUAAGUACGGUACCGAAGCAGCGGGUAGUAGCAAUACUACGGUAGGAGAGCGUAGCCAACGGGACGAAGCGAUACGGAUAACGGGUCGUGGACUGUUGGUUAGUGAUUAUGUCGGAAUGAGUAACGAUAAAACGGGUGAGAAUCCCGUUCGCCGAAAGCCUAAGGUUUCCUGGGGAAGGUAAAUCCGCCCAGGGUUAGUCGGGUCCUAAGACAAGGCCGAAAGGCGUAGUCGAUGGAUAGCAGGUUAAUAUUCCUGCACCGCUGGCAGCGGUCGAAGGCAUCAGGACGUUAACAGGAAUGGGUACCCCCCGUUAGUUGUGGGGGAGCCGCAAGGCCGAGGACAUUUAUGAUUCCGAAGUCCUAGGAACGUUAACCAAGAAAAGCCGAUGCUGGACAAAGUCAGUGCCCGUACCACAAUCCGACACAGGUAGGCGAGAUGAAUAUUCUAAGGCGCUCGAGAGAAUGCUCGUGAAGGAACUCUGCAAAUUAACUCCGUAACUUCGGGAAAAGGAGUGCCCCUGUUAGUGUUAAAGCUUCUGGGGGUCGCAGUGAAAAGGGUCUAGCGACUGUUUAUUAAAAACACAGGUCUGUGCGAACACGUAAGUGGAAGUAUACAGACUGACGCCUGCCCGGUGCCGGUAAGUUAAGGAAGGGGGUUAGCCGUAAGGUGAAGCCCGCAACCGAAGCUCCGGUAAACGGCGGCCGUAACUAUAACGGUCCUAAGGUAGCGAAAUUCCUUGUCGGGUAAGUUCCGACCUGCAUGAAUGGCGUAACGACUGGACCACUGUCUCCACGAGCUACUCGGUGAAAUUGUAGUCGUCGUGAAGAUGCGACGUACCCGCAGUUAGACGGAAAGACCCCGUGAACCUUAACUGUAGGAUAGUAUUGGGUUUAGACCCAACAUGCGUAGCGUAGCUGGGAGACUAUAAAGAGCGGUUUUUGGAUCGCUUGGAGUCAUCGAUGAAACACCAGCCUUGUUGUGUUUGAAUUCUAACUCGUGUUACAACCACGUGGACAGUGCUAUCUGGGCAGUUUGAUUGGGGCGAUCUCCUCCUAAAAGGUAACGGAGGAGCGCAAAGGUACCCUCAGCCCGGUUGGCAAUCGGGCAUCGAGCGUAAACGUAAAAGGGUGCUUGACUGCGAGACCGAUAGGUCGAGCAGGGACGAAAGUCGGCGUUAGUGAUCCGGUGGUUCCGAAUGGAAGGGCCAUCGCUCAACAGAUAAAAGGUACUCCGGGGAUAACAGGCUUAUCUCCUCUGAGCGUUCAUAGCGGCGAGGAGGUUUGGCACCUCGAUGUCGGCUCAUCGCAUCCUGGGGCUGGAGAAGGUCCCAAGGGUUUGGCUGUUCGCCAAUGAAAGCGGUACGUGAGCUGGGUUUAGACCGUCGUGAGACAGGUCGGUCCCUAUCUGCUGCGGGCGCAGGAUACUUGAGAGGCUUCCUCCCUAGUACGAGAGGAUUGGGAGGGACGCACCGCUGGUGUUCCAGUUGUGACGCUAGUCGCACCGCUGGGUAGCUACGUGCGGAAUGGAUAAACGCUGAAGGCAUAUAAGCGUGAAACUUCCCUCAAGAUAAGGUAUCCUUGCUUAGCUGAAGACCCCCGAUAGAACAUCGGGAAUAUAGGUCGGGUGUGUAAGAACAGCAAUGUUCUCAGCUAACCGAUACUAACGGUCGAACGCUUGACCA